UACGUAGGGGGCAAGCGUUGUCCGGAAUCAUUGGGCGUAAAGAGCGUGUAGGCGGCUUGGUAAGUCCGCUGUGAAAGUCCAGGGCUCAACCCUGGAAUGCCGGUGGAAACUGUCAAGCUUGAGUCCGGAAGAGGCGAGUGGAAUUCCUGGUGUAGCGGUGAAAUGCGCAGAUAUCGGGAGGAACACCGGUGGCGAAGGCGGUUCUCUGGGCCUGUACUGACGCUGAGGAGCGAAAGCGUGGGGAGCGAACAGG
rnacentral:rRNA from 1 species